AUAUGAAUCACCAGGAGAGCUUGUUAAGAUAUAGGCUCUGAUUCAGUAGGCUGGGGAGGAGCCCAGGAGUCUGCAUUUCUAACAGGCUCCCAGGUGUUGCCGAU
rnacentral:pre_miRNA from 1 species